rnacentral:rRNA from 1 species
AGAGUUUGAUCAUGGCUCAGAUUGAACGCUGGCGGCAGGCCUAACACAUGCAAGUCGAGCGGAUGAAGGGAGCUUGCUCCUGGAUUCAGCGGCGGACGGGUGAGUAAUGCCUAGGAAUCUGCCUGGUAGUGGGGGAUAACGUCCGGAAACGGGCGCUAAUACCGCAUACGUCCUGAGGGAGAAAGUGGGGGAUCUUCGGACCUCACGCUAUCAGAUGAGCCUAGGUCGGAUUAGCUAGUUGGUGGGGUAAAGGCCUACCAAGGCGACGAUCCGUAACUGGUCUGAGAGGAUGAUCAGUCACACUGGAACUGAGACACGGUCCAGACUCCUACGGGAGGCAGCAGUGGGGAAUAUUGGACAAUGGGCGAAAGCCUGAUCCAGCCAUGCCGCGUGUGUGAAGAAGGUCUUCGGAUUGUAAAGCACUUUAAGUUGGGAGGAAGGGCAGUAAGUUAAUACCUUGCUGUUUUGACGUUACCAACAGAAUAAGCACCGGCUAACUUCGUGCCAGCAGCCGCGGUAAUACGAAGGGUGCAAGCGUUAAUCGGAAUUACUGGGCGUAAAGCGCGCGUAGGUGGUUCAGCAAGUUGGAUGUGAAAUCCCCGGGCUCAACCUGGGAACUGCAUCCAAAACUACUGAGCUAGAGUACGGUAGAGGGUGGUGGAAUUUCCUGUGUAGCGGUGAAAUGCGUAGAUAUAGGAAGGAACACCAGUGGCGAAGGCGACCACCUGGACUGAUACUGACACUGAGGUGCGAAAGCGUGGGGAGCAAACAGGAUUAGAUACCCUGGUAGUCCACGCCGUAAACGAUGUCGACUAGCCGUUGGGAUCCUUGAGAUCUUAGUGGCGCAGCUAACGCGAUAAGUCGACCGCCUGGGGAGUACGGCCGCAAGGUUAAAACUCAAAUGAAUUGACGGGGGCCCGCACAAGCGGUGGAGCAUGUGGUUUAAUUCGAAGCAACGCGAAGAACCUUACCUGGCCUUGACAUGCUGAGAACUUUCCAGAGAUGGAUUGGUGCCUUCGGGAACUCAGACACAGGUGCUGCAUGGCUGCCGUCAGCUCGUGUCGUGAGAUGUUGGGUUAAGUCCCGUAACGAGCGCAACCCUUGUCCUUAGUUACCAGCACCUCGGGUGGGCACUCUAAGGAGACUGCCGGUGACAAACCGGAGGAAGGUGGGGAUGACGUCAAGUCAUCAUGGCCCCUUACGGCCAGGGCUACACACGUGCUACAAUGGUCGGUACAAAGGGUUGCCAAGCCGCGAGGUGGAGCUAAUCCCAUAAAACCGAUCGUAGUCCGGAUCGCAGUCUGCAACUCGACUGCGUGAAGUCGGAAUCGCUAGUAAUCGUGAAUCAGAAUGUCACGGUGAAUACGUUCCCGGGCCUUGUACACACCGCCCGUCACACCAUGGGAGUGGGUUGCUCCAGAAGUAGCUAGUCUAACCGCAAGGGGGACGGUUACCACGGAGUGAUUCAUGACUGGGGUGAAGUCGUAACAAGGUAGCCGUAGGGGAACCUGCGGCUG